UGGCCGUGCGCUUCCUUGGCUUCUUCUGCAUGUGCUGAGCUUUCCUGAAUCCCCGACGAGUUAUUGUUUUUCUUCUAGAAUACUCAGUUCCUGGGUGGACGCUUAGUAAGCAGAUAAGUGGACUUGGGCACUUGACUCGUUUCAUAAUAGGAAAAAUAGUGAUUAAAUUCUUAUAUUCAGGGUGACUGGCAUUGUUGGUAGCGUUUUUUUAUUUAAAGAAAACGAUCAAUUCAGAUCAUUCAUAAUAUUAAUAGAGUGUUGGCUCCCAUCCUUCAAAUCCUAAAUUUGUUUCUUUUGGUUAUGUUGAUUAUUUGUUCCUUCUUUGGCUCUGCAUAAGGAAAUAUGGUGAAAAUAAGGGUUAACAUAAGAUAGUACUAAGGGGGGAUUGACUAUCACCACCAGGUGGCAGCAAAAUGUACCGCACAUCAUGACAGAGAAAGGAAAUCCAUAUUCUGGUCAGCUAUUAACACUGUAUGUCUUUGUGUAUAAUUUGGUGGGCAAAAUCACAGUUCAUUAUGCUAAAAUGAGAAAUGAGACAAAACACUCUUGUAGCUGACUGUCAAGAUGAGAAAUGAAACUAUUAGUCUCUCUAUACCUUUGUAGACAGAACACUCUUCAAGCUAGUGUCUAAACUCUAUAUGGUUGUAGACAGAACACUCUUCUAGCUAGUGUCUAAACGGUCCUAGAUAGUGCUUCCCUGCCACUACAUCAUCCUCGUGUUGUACGAUUAACAUCUACCACUACAUCUAUUUUUGGAUUGAAGAAAUUUAACUGCUCUAUAUAUACUUUUCUGUCAAGUAGUCUGACUGUUUAGCAUCUGUUGCUACAGUGACAGAGUUCUCUGUUUAAUUAAAUAGCUAACAUUUUUUUCUGAUAGACCACAAUAUUAUCUCUGAUGAGAAUAUUUGAGCGAAUUGUUUCUUGUUAUUAUCUGAAAAAGAUUGCCACCAUGGCUAUACAAUAAUAAAAUGAAUUUAUUCGUUGCUACAGAGAGAAAUGUCCAACACUAAUUUCUUGUCAUUUUUUGCAUGUCCAGCUUUCUGGAAGAUGGCAUUAGGCAGUGUUCUUUCCGAUGGAGACAACUUCUGAUGCUACCUAGAUUGGCCGAUCUACUUUUUUUAUCAGCGACGCUACUAUCUAUUUCAUGAGGAUGCACUUGGCAGAUCUGUAAGAUCGCAAUGUUCAGCCUGGCUUCUAUCUUUGAUCUGGUAUGUAAUAGUUUUUUCGUUGGUAUAAAACUGCAAGUUAUCCGAAUUGUGCUGCUAAAACAAAGUUCUUGAUAUAAGUUACCUAUAAUCAUCCGGCGCGGCUUAUAUAAUAUUUUGAUAGUA
rnacentral:lncRNA from 1 species